ensembl:lncRNA
AGUCGAAUCCAUACAGACAGAAAGUAGAAUAGUGUUUGCCAGGGGAUUGAGAGAGGGGGAACUGGAGAAUUAUUGUUUAAUAGGUAUAGACGUUCAGAUGAUGAAAAAGUUCUGGAAUUGGUUCGUGUCCAUUGUUAUACAAAAAUGUGAAUGUAAUUGCGAGAGAACUAUACAUUUAAAGGUGGUUUAGGGAGUUCCUCUUGUGGCACAGCAGAAACAAAUUUGGCAAGUGUCCAUGAGGAUUCAGCUUUGAUCCCUGGCCCUGCUCAGUGGGUUAAGGAUGCAGCGUUGCCGUGAGCCAUAGUGGCUCAGAUCCCACGUUGCUGUGGCUGUGAUGUAGGCUGGCAGCUGCAGCUCUGAUUCUGUCCCUAGCCUGGGAACUUCCAUAUGCUGCAGUGAGUGUUUACACAGGAAUUUUAUAUUACGUAAGUUUUGCCCACAUACAAAAAGACAGUGAAGGGCCAAACUAAUCAAAUUUGAAAUAUGUUGACUGCCUUGGAGUUGGAACAAAUCACUUCCCCUCAGUUACCAGAGUGCAUGCUAUGAGGUGGCAGGGAAACUUACUACUUUGCAUCUUCUGUUGCAUCCAAGUGCCAGUUACAGACGUGCCCUACACACCCUAAGAGAGGGAUCAAUAGCGAAGCUUCUGAGUGCUCGUCUCACCAUUAAACAUCAACCUCAAAGAGAAAACAUUCCACAUAAAUAUAUCAUUUUCCUUUAUUUCACAUCUACAUAAAUUAGGCUAAAUGGGAUGAGAAAUAUUUUAUUGAUAGAGUAUUAAUCAUUAGCUAAUACACACCGUGAAAACAGUUCAUCAGAAUUCAUUAAUGUUUUAUUAAUCCCAUUUUUUGGCCAGAUAUUUUUGAUUUGAAAAACAGUGGUGUCUUUCAGUAUCUGGUAAUGCAUGGCUGUGCUGCACAAAAAUCACUGGGGGCAUUAGACAGGUUUCGUAGAGUUUUCCCCAUUCAGUGUUGCAGGGACUCUAGGUGUUGAUACCACAAUCUCAGAGGUUCCUUUUGUACUUGGGGCUCUGAUGUGAUUUUGCAAAAGAUCCAAAGUGGAUCACAGUUUCUAGUGUCAAAGAGUGACAAAUCAGAAGUUUAGGCAGGAAAAUGCAAUAUCAUCAUGUGUUAAAAAACUUAUUUGGCCCCCAAAGUAGAGGGCUGUCAGAGCAUCGUUUAGCUGGCCUUCUUAGCUUCUCCAUCAGAUUAGAAUUGGUGCCUCCCUCUCUUGGUGCUGCUACUUCCGUGAUAGGAAUAUUCCCAGCUUCUGUUUGCUUGCUUCGAUUCUAAAGGAUUCCUCAAGGCUUAGUGGAAGCCCUGUCAGCACCAUACCCCUUUCUGAUUAGCCUACCCUUCCUGUGCUGUUCUUAUGCAGCAUCUAUUUUCUGAAUCACUCUUCUGACUUAUCAUUCAUUGAACUGCCCAUUUGCUUUUGUAAGGAUGCAUCCAUUGGCUCAGCUCCCAAGACAGCCCCCAGUGAGCCCUCCCUCCUGGUUUUCACGCGCUUGUGUAGUCCCCUUCCCCAUUUUACCGGGGUUGGUCUGUGUGAUCAGAGUCUGGCGGAAGUGAUGAAUGUCACUUCUGCUAUCAAGUUGUGAAAAGACUGUCGCUUCCACCUUGGAUGCAUUCUCUGUUUUAGAGUGUUCUCCCUGAGGGAGGGCAACGGCCAGCUCAUGAGACCACACAGACCACCAUGGAGAUGGGCUCUGUGGGAAAGAGCUAAAGUCUCUGCUGAACAGCCAGGAAAAACUGAGGCCUAACAAUACCUGUGUGAUCGAGAUUAGAAUUGGUUCCUCCCUCAAAGUUCCUAUUACGGUUCAGUGGGUUAUGAACCUGACUAGUAUCCAUGAGGAUGUGGGUUUGAUCCCUGGCUUCGCUCAGUGGGUUAAGGGAUCUGGCACUGCCGUGAGCUGCGGUGUAGAUUGAAGACACGGCUUGGAUCCCGCGUUGCUGGUGUGGUGUAGGCUGGCAGCUGCAGCUCUGAUUUGACCCCUAGCCUGGGAACCUCUAUAUGCCUUGAGUGCAGCCUUAGGGGGGGAAAAAAAAAGAAAAAAAGAAAAGAGAACCUACAAGUCAGUGUUUUUCAAAUCUUUUCAUUCCUUGAGCUCCCUGGAGGUCCCAUGUUGGCCUUUUCUGCUGCUGGUUCUUGCGAGACACUGCUGUCAUUGACGUGCUCCGAGUGCCCUGGGUUCUACAGCCCUUUUACUCUCGGCAGGAAAGGAGUGAAAGAUGGAGGAGUGGUGAGAGAGAGGGAGAGAAAGGAAGGAGUUAAUUUUUGUUUUUAUGGCCACAUGUGAGUAGUACUGCAAUCUGUACAGUGGAGCAUGAAUUCCCCACCGCCUCUGAAGUCCACUGUCUGUGUGGUUAGUACAAAGUGAGUUAGGUUGGAAGAAGUGUAUUUAAAUGUCACAGAAAGUCAGGAAGGGUUUAACCGGUUUCGACUGUCACCUAUUUUUCAUUUGAAAAGCAGAUUCCAAAUUUCUUCCUUUUUGAAAUUAUCAGAUGAAUUACUCCUAAAUUCACCUUUAUAUCCAAAUGUCUGUAAAAGACCUUAAGUGAAGCCAUUAUCAAUGGAAAUGGAGUUUUAGUAAGAUUUUAGGGUGCUAAAAUAAUAUCAAAGUUGCCAACAGGGUAUAUAGCCAUAUAGGUGAAAACAAAGAGUGAUAUGUUAAAUAUAGCUUUAAAAAUAAUUUCAGACAUGUAAUGUUAUAUGUAUAUGUGUAUAUAUAUAUGUGUGUGUGUGUGUGUAUGUUUUAGGGCUGCACCUAUGGCAUAUGGAAGUUCUCAGGCUAGAGGUUGAAUCAUAGCUGCAGCUGCUGGCCUACACCACAGCCACAGCAAUGUCAGCUGCAUCUGCAACCUAUAGCUGCAUCUGCAACAGCUGCAUCUGCACCCUAUGCCUCAGUUUGCUGCAACACCAGAUCUGUAACCCACUGAAUAAGGCCAGGGAUCAAACCUGCAUCCUCAUGGAUACUAGCCUGUUUCUUAACCCACUGAGCCAGGACAAGAACGCCUUUAAAAAAAAAAUAUUAGAAGCUAAUCAGCUUUAUAGAUAGUCAAAAUUAGAGUACACAAGAAACAGAUGGAUGUUUAAAAAUUGGCCAGUAGCCUUACCUGUACUCCUGGGAUCGGUAAGGUAAAAAGUUCCUGAAGUUAUUCCUUUUGGCCAAAAUCCUUAGGUUAUUCAUGCUUAGGAAUGUGGAGCCUGAAGCUCUUUAUAUAGGGUCAAAUGUUUUCUUCAUUCACAGUCAACCUGCCCUUUCUACUCAAAGAGUAUAUAAUCCUCUAGAAUUCUGAGAUCCCAAGAUUCUCUCAUUCUGUAAUUGUUUUUUAUUCUUUGAUACCUCUAUGAAAUUGCCCACUGGUUUUCUAUCAAGUUUGUUCUUAGAACAUACAGAUAUUUUGUGUACGUACUCCUAAAUAUUUCACAGCUGCACUAUUUAUAUACAUUUGUAUACAAAUGUGUUAUGAAGAUGAUCUCCUGGCAACUGAUUAGCCUUCGUACCUGCUCUGCAGCCAGGAGACGGUGCCUUUCUGAGGUCUCUCCUGGGGAAGACAUCCAGAGAGGCAAUGCAUAAGAGGGUAAGGACAUAUUUCGAGAUUAAGCAAGACUGGUAAGAGUGGCAGAAAGUGGGGGCUAAGAGCACAGAUCCUGGAGUCAGACUGCCUGGGUUCCACCUAAUUCACACUCCACCAAUUAUGUGCUGUGUGAUCUUGAAUAUGUCAGUUAAUGUAUUUGUCUCUCCGUUUCCUUAACUAUUAAUAGGAAAUUAACCCUAGUAUUUAUUUUAUGGAAUUGAUGUGAGAAAUAAAAAACACAUGUAACAUAUUUAGAGCAAUAUCUCAACACACUUAGAAUGCAAUGAAUUGCUGUUAUUGUUGUAAUGAUUAUUAUUAAAAUUUCAAUUUACAGCUUUAUCGCGUACCACUAUGAUCUUGUGUAAUGUCCUCACCUUUAUGUUUGUCCAUCUCUAAAAUGAGAAUUAUAAGUCCUGGAAUUAUAUUUGUAAUUAAAGACAUAUUAUGGAAAGUCCUGAACAGAGAACCCAGAACUCAGACGAUCUAAUUGCUCAGUGGGUGUAUAUACUCAUUCCUCUUAACUUCUUCAGUGGGUCCCUAACUCGGACCGUGUGGCUUAAGUACUUCCGAGAGUCCUGACCAUUGAGGUUUCACGGCGAGACUGGAUUUGAGCUUUGCCAAAGGAAAUCUUCUGCAUCAACUUUGAGAACCCAAGAUGUGGUUUUAUGAGAGUGGAGGAGACUCAGAGAGAAACUCCUCCCCCCAAGCUGAUCGCUCAGGAUUGGCAUAUAAAUCUGAAUACUGAUGAGAGAGGGGCUGAUGAGUAGACUGCAUAGAAAGUAAAUUGCUUUCUCUUCUGUAGGAAGUUUCACCUGGGAAAUAAGCCCACCCUCAGGCAGUUGUUUGGCUGAAUCAUGGAGGACAAGGCUCCACAGGGCACGCUCCAAUCCUUGAGACCCUUUAGGCAUCUGGGAACUCAAAAUAUUUUUAUAAUAUUGAGAGGUCAUUGGCCUUUUUCACUCUCUGUCAUCAGUGUGCAGUGGAAUUUUCCAGAGUCUACAUCAUGUGUGAUGAUGUUAUCAUUCUGACAGCUAAUGGAAAUGUACAAUUAAGUGUUUUGCAUUUGCAGUUUUUCCCAGUUUUAAUUCCUGUUAUGGUAAAUAGCGAUAGCUAUAACUCCUAUGAAAAAGCCCUUGGGAGUCAUCGAUAAUUUUUAGAGGUGUAAAGGGGUCCUGAGACCAAACUGUUUGAGAAUUUCUCAUCCUAAAGAAUGGGACCAUUUCAUAUCUGGAAUGGGACCAUUCUCUAGCUCAUGUCUGGCGGUAUUUGAUGCUAGACACUGCCUGGAAUACUUACCUGCUUCCCUUUCCCCAUGUUUUAUGAAGAUCAUGCCAUGCUGUUGACACGUCCUCUUCCUUCAGAUUAUAGUACCAUUGACUAGAUGUCGUUUCCUUUGCCCACAGUCAUGUUCAUGCCUUCCUGAGACUCUGCUCUGGUCGGUUUGGCUGGACUCCAGCCACAUUCUGGUACUCCUGGUUGCAUGUGGGUUACUGUCUUGCUCUCUGAUCCUCACAUGUGCAGUCCACCUCUCAGGGCGGGCCAUUUGGUUUAUAGUUCUCAACCUUAGUCCCAGAGAACAUCUCCGUCUUUCAAACUCUAGGCUUUUUUAAUGAGCUUCCACCUCUGUACCUCCUGUACCAAGUCAUAAAUAGUACAUGCUUAAGAGGAAAAGCAAAUACGAACUCUGUUAAAUUUGUUCCACGUUAAAUUUGGUGUUUGUUCUUCGCUCUCUUGAAUUGAUGUAAUGAUUAAUGGCUGGUAAAGGCAUGGCGUGACAUCUGGAAAACACAGCCGUGUUGCUCUUCAUUUGAAGUGCUUAUGAAAAGCUGUUAAAGUGAAUACACUGUAUGAGGCCAACAUGCACAUUAGCCUGGGCCCAGAGGUCCUAGGUCGAAUUGGACAAGGGCCAAAAGAUAUUUGAUUUUGAGCGAGUAAAAAUUCUAGUAAAUCUUAAAAAUAUUAUCUGCAUUUAGUGACCAUAGAAGUUUUCUUUUAUUACAUGUUUCCUUGCCUCUAACUGUGAAUUACGCAGACUAGUAAAAUGUAACAAGGCCAUUGAAUUCUGAAUUUUUUAUUUUCCUAUACUACAAAAUGGAGUAACUAUACACAUGGUCAUAUUUUAUGUUUAUUUAUUGAUACUCUUGUAGCUGUUUAUAUUUCUGUAUGCGUGUGGAGGAAAUACUCUAUAUUUGUGUCCUGUGGCACAUCUCAGCCUCAUCCUGUCUCUGAAUUCAGUGAUAUCAUAUUGGUAGCUUGCAUUCAGCCUUGGUGGAAGCAUUUAUAUCAUGGGAGCAGCAAACACUACAAAUCAGAACUUAUGUAUGGACUGUUUAGACUUUAGAAAGUAUGAAUGUGUCCUGUACCUCCUUUAUAACAGUGAAAUUACAUAUAUAUAUAUAUAUAUGCACACGCAUAUACUAAAAUACUGGGGACCCUUUUUGAGGCUAAUAUCUACCUCUUAGUCCCUGAUGACUCCUGUCUCUUCCACAUGUAAAAUGCACUCAUGCCCCUCCUAAGACCCCCACAAAUACCCAACCUGUUACAACCCCAGAUUGAAGUCCAGAGCCCCGUCAUCAAAAUCAGGCCCAGGUACAGACGCACCUCCUCAGGUACAGCUGGAAAGUGCACCUCCUUGAGUUCAGUUGCUCUUGAUCUGAGGUCUUGUGAGCCUAAAGAGAGAAGUUAUUUCCCUCUAGCAAACCCGACAGGUAAUGGUGAAACAGGCAUAAGAUGACUGCUUCAGGCACUCCUCCUUAAAAUGUGGAAAACAGGUGCCAGAGGUUUGAAAUUUAGCUGGGCAUAUUUUGGAAGUUGCUAGAUUAGGAUGUAGUCGUACUUCUCCGUGGUUCAUGGAUCUGCCCUCUGUGAGCUUGUUUCUGCUUUCUGAGUCGCUCAUCCUUUUCCACAAAAGGUAACCCAGGUUUGCAGCUGUGUAGCUUUCAAGCCUGUUACCUGCAGGCUAUAUUUUGAGAGACCAAAGCCCUCCCCCCUCGCUUUUUUUCCCCCAUUUUGCGCUGUUCCUGUCCUAUUCAGUUCAAGCUGAUGGUGUUUCUGCUAAAAUAAUUGUCUUUAAAACUGCGUAUGUUCCUUAUUAGAAAAAAAACAUGUCUGCAGAUCUUUUUGAGGUAAGUCCUUCUGUGACUUGGGCCUCUGCUGAAAUUGCUGAGGAAAUUCACCCUGAAGUUUCUUCGAAGCCUGAUUGUGUGACGGAGCAGUCCUCUGAGGCACCGUAUCCGAUCUGUUUGAGGCCGUAUUUUCCUGGAAAUGUCAUGGACUUCAUCUUUGCCUGGAAGCCGUUUCUUAAUUAUAGCACUGGUAGUCAGCGGGAGAGGCUGGGAAUUUUUACAAUCAGGAAGUCCGUGUUCCGUUUUUGUUUAAGUCUUUCCUUAGACACCUCUCUCUCUCUGCUUGCAUUUUGCUGUACGUAGCAAAGAGCAUCUAAGCGGCACCUUGAAAACCUGCACUGGAAUCUUCUUAGCAAGGUGAUCCCAUUUUAUGUGGUACAUUGUCUACUUUCCGCAUACCUCCAGGAAGCGGUGUCAUGAUACUUUCUGACACUGCCUAACAGCGUCCCUUUCCCUCCAGUUUCCAGUGACUUUUUUGCACAUCUUGCAGCCCUGACUCGUACCUUCCUCAGAGGCAUUCUCUUCACCACAUGUGAGGCUCCCACCAAUACUCCCCUCAGAGUCUUUGCUGCUUCUGCCCACUGCCUUCUCCAAAGCUAUUUUCAUAUUUUUAGUUAUGUGCUACUCUGAGGCUCCAUUUCCAAGUACCAAAGUAACAAAAUCUGUCUUACUCAUCUAUUGUUGUGUAAUAAACGACUCCACAACCUAGUAGCUUAUAUCAGUAAACAUUUAUCACUUAACCCUUUCUGUGGUCUGAGCAUCCAGAGCAUCUAGGCGUGGUAGUUCUGGCUUGAGAUCACUAAUGAGGCUGUGGUUAAAUUUUUGGCUAGGGAUGAAGUCAACUGAA